rnacentral:misc_RNA from 1 species
CCUCGAAGGCCCCGAUACCCGCGACAUCUGCUACGCGACACAAAACCGCCAGUCUUCGGUGCGAGAUCUCAGCAAGCUCGUCGAUGUCAUCCUGGUUGUCGGCGCGACGAACAGCUCCAACUCCAACCGCCUCCGCGAGAUCGGGACCGAAGUCGGCGUCCCGAGCUACCUCAUCGCCGACGGCAGCCAGCUCAAUCCCGAAUGGUUGAAAGACGCGAAGACCGUCGGCAUCACCGCGGGCGCCUCGGCGCCGGAGGUGUUGGUGGACGAUGUGAUUGACGCCCUGCGGAGAAUCGGACCUGCGGAGAAUCGGACCGGUGACAGUGUCCGUGCUGCCGGGUCGGGAGGAAAACAUCGAGUUCAGACUGCCGGCCGAGCUGACCCAACGUCAGCCGCGCCUCGCUCCCGUGAUGCAAGAAAGANGCGAUGCAAGAAAGAUAAACGUUCAUGGCGAUACCGUUUUUCAAAGAGAUCAAGAUCGGCUCCUAUCUGGUGAAGCAGAAGCUGCUUGGCCGGAAACGCUAUCCGUUGGUGCUGAUGCUGGAG